rnacentral:tRNA from 1 species
GCUCGGGUGGCGUAACCGGUAGCCGCGGGGGUCUCAAAAACCCCUGGCCUUACGGCCGUGCGGGUUCGAGUCCCGCCCCGAGCA